rnacentral:rRNA from 1 species
UACGGUGGGGGCAAGCGUUGUUCGGAAUUACUGGGCGUAAAGGGCUCGUAGGUGGCCAACUAAGUCAGACGUGAAAUCCCCAGGCUCAACUUGGGAACUGCGUCUGAUACUGGAUGGCUUGAAUUCGGGAGAGGGAUGCAGAAUUCCAGGUGUAGCGGUGAAAUGCGUAGAUAUCAAGUGGAACACCAGUGCCGAAGGCGAGUCUCUGGACAUUUCCUGACGCUGAGGCACGAAAGCCAGGGGAGCAAACGGG